rnacentral:rRNA from 1 species
AUUGAACGCUGGCGGCAGGCCUAACACAUGCAAGUCGAGCGGCAGCGGGAAAGUAGCUUGCUACUUUUGCCGGCGAGCGGCGGACGGGUGAGUAAUGCCUGGGAAAUUGCCCAGUCGAGGGGGAUAACAGUUGGAAACGACUGCUAAUACCGCAUACGCCCUACGGGGGAAAGCAGGGGACCUUCGGGCCUUGCGCGAUUGGAUAGGCCCGGGUGGGAUUAGCUAGUUGGUGAGGUAAUGGCUCACCAAGGCGACGAUCCCUAGCUGGUCUGAGAGGAUGAUCAGCCACACUGGAACUGAGACACGGUCCAGACUCCUACGGGAGGCAGCAGUGGGGAAUAUUGCACAAUGGGGGAAACCCUGAUGCAGCCAUGCCGCGUGUGUGAAGAAGGCCUUCGGGUUGUAAAGCACUUUCAGCGAGGAGGAAAGGUUGAUGCCUAAUACGUAUCAACUGUGACGUUACUCGCAGAAGAAGCCUCGGCUAACUUCGUGCCAGCCGCCGCGGUAA